rnacentral:rRNA from 1 species
AUUGAACGCUGGCGGCAGGCCUAAUACAUGCAAGUCGAGCGAGCGGCGGACGGGAGAGUAAUGUAUGGGGACUGCCCGAUGGAGGGGGAUAACUACUGGAAACGGUGGCUAAUACCGAUUACUAUCGGAUAACCCAUAAUGGAGUAGCUAGUAGGUGGGGUAAAGGCUCACCUAGGCGACGAUCCCUAGCUGGUCUGAGAGGGUGAUAGGCCACACUGGGACUGAGACACGGCCCAGACUCCUACGGAGGCAGCAGUAGGGAAUAUUCCGCAAUGGGCGAAAGCCUGAUGCAGCCAAGCCGCGUGAAUGAAGAAGGCCUUAGGAUUGUAAAACUCUUUCAUCAGGGAAGCGUUACCUACAGAAAAAGCACCGGCUAACUCCGUGCCAGCAGCCGCGGUAAUAC